rnacentral:rRNA from 1 species
GGAAGGAUCAUUAUUGGAAUUGAAACCCUUUGCAGGAGGCUGUUGCUGUGCCCCUUGGGUAUGUGCACGUCUCUUGUGUGUUUCUUCCUUUAUCUCCCACCUGUGCACUGAUUUGUAGACUACCUUUGGUGUCUAUGAUUAUAAUAUACAUCACACAUAUAUUGAAUGUAUUAGUUUUGAGGCCCUUUUGUGCGCCUUUAUAAACAAAUAUACAACUUUCAACAAUGGAUCUCUUGGCUCUUGCAUCGAUGAAGAACGCAGCGAAAUGCGAUAAGUAAUGUGAAUUGCAGAAUUCAGUGAAUCAUCGAAUCUUUGAACGCAUCUUGCGCUCCUUGGUAUUCCGAGGAGCAUGCCUGUUUGAGUGUCAUUAAUCUUCUCAAAACAUUUAACUUUGUAAUGUUUUGGAUUUUGGGAGUCAUUGCUGGCCGGUUGGAGUCAGCUCUCCUUAAAAGUAAAUAGGAUGGGAAAGGCCCUUUCUCCACUCAUUUGGUGUGAUAAUUAUCUAUGCCAAGGGGGGUGAAGGCUUUUUUCAAGUCCGGGUCCUAAACCCAUGUAGACCAAAUUUGACCUCAAAUCAGGUAGGACUACCCGCUGAACUUAA